GAAGGUGUGCAGAGAGCCAAAAGAGGAGGGUCGGCCUUUUCAGGGCUGUUUCCGGCGCCUCAUUUCGCUGAUGUGUGGAAUGGGGAUAGCAGCAAAUAUCUUUCUAGACUGAUGAAAAACGCCAAACCUAUUGUGUGAACCGUAGCCUUGGUCAUCUGCUUUGUUACUUCUGAAGUUACCACUUCAGAGAGUCCAGGGCUCCUCAGACUCAUGCCCGGCUUGGAAAAUCAAGGGUGUGAACAUCCUCUGCGACAACUGAUGGCCAAGGGUAGCAGGAGCUGAUGAAUAAGUCAUCCUCCCACAGGGCAUAUGUCCCGUAUGUUCCGAGAUCCUCAGUGGAUGCCUGAAAUGCUGAAACUACAGUGGUCCUGAGCUCUAUGUAUUCACAUACACUUCAGGAAAAGAAGAACUCGCAUAAAUAUUUUAAUACUAAAUUUAUUGAGACAUCAUGAGAUUCAUACUAGUUACCUUUGGCCUCUACAACGACAAGAGGUGCUCAAAGUGGUGGCCAUGAGCUCCCAGACAUUUAUUAGUCCAGCGAAUUGCUGCUUGGGUAACUUUGAUCAAAGUGUCCCUUGAGAUUGCUGCAUGUGCAUUUUCAAUUUCUUCCCUACAGCUGGCAGUGUAGUGAGUUUUCUGGAAUAUACAGCAUCCUUUAGGGUCCUCCCUAGAUAAAAGUCUGCAGGUGUUAAAUCAGGAGAACAUGUGGGGAACUCAACUGCAACAAGUGACAUAAACAUCAGUGACACAAUGGAGGAGGCACGGUUACCGAUUAAGGACCAUAAGAACAUUUCAAUGUAGUAUUUCAAAUUCAAGACUCUCGGUGAAGUACAAUGAUGAUGUGGGCCUGAGUUGGGAACAGAACCUCCAACACACCUGACAAUUGCACGGAUUCAGGAUAAGUUCAAAAACCAUGAUACCAUGUGGGAUGUGCAUAAAGGAAAAUCCGGCAGACCUCUUACAGCAGCAGGUGCUGUUUCCUUGGCGGCGGUGCUGGAACAAUUCACACCUUCACCACAGAAGUCUGGCACAGUGUGCGCCGAGACAGGAGUAAGCAGUGCAAGCACAUGGAGCAUUCUUAAGAGAGAAGCUGAUCCUGCCAAAAACAUUUUAUUUAUCUAAUGUGCAACAGUCCAGUGCACAUUGAUGAUUAUCUGUAGCAUUCGACUCCAUGCCCCUGGUCAUGACAGCAAGAAUCUUUGGAAACAGUAGGACAACUGAAACAAUACUAAAAGCCCAAGGGAAUUCAAUAAAGCAGAUGUGCACUGGCAGCUUCACAGCAAAGGAAGAAAUUUAAAGCCACACUGAGUUGUGCAGAAGGCCUUCAGAUGUGCAAUGGCAAAAGAAUCAUCUAAGUAUUUCUGUGUUUCUUCUGGACAAUGGGAUUGAGAAUGAAGGUGGCAGCUGAACACGACUGUGAAUUCAAAGGCCACAGCAGCAACAGAGGACAAAAUCCAUCAUGAGCCUGAUGGGUUGGUGAGACGGAUUCAGGCACAGUGGGAAGGUGUAGGUUUGGCAAAAGGAUGAGGGUCCCACCUUAACAGCUGGUUUUUGGCAGUCUUCCCAGAAGUGCCUCCCUGAACUCUGAACAGCAGGUAUGAAUAAUGGCAGUUUCCAAAUCCUAUCACCCAGUCUUAAUCAUCCACAGCAUAGAUCCAUCCAGCAUGGCUUUAGUGAAUGCUUGGCCCAGUCGAAACAGAAGUUAAGUGCAGUAAAAGUUCUGGUGCAUCUAGUUAUAGCUGAGACUUUGUGCUGUCAGGCAUGUUUUUACUUGAAACUAUGAGAUAAACAUAGCAUUGCGUUACAAUGCUAAUUCCAUUUGAUGGUGAGCAAUUAAAAACAUUACAUUAAAAAUGAAAACAUUGUAGCUGAGAUGAAAAACUUGGAUGAGUUGAAAGAUUUCAAAGAAUGUUCUUAAUGGAGCAGUUGAUGCCAGAACCCUUGCGAGUACAAGUCUAUUCCUUCCUUCAUUAGGAUUGCUUCAGUCAGAAACAUUUAUAAUGCCUUGGAGGACAGGAUCAAUUCCAAGUCCGAGACCCCAUUUCUCCAUGAUCUGAUCAUGCCUGACUUGCCACCUUCUUCUCUUUAAUGGUUCUCUCAAAACUCCAUUCAACAAGGAUCUACACCACUUAACAGCCAUAGAAAUGCCAAAAAUGAAUUUUAUAUAAAAAAUUAGAAGCAUACAAAGCUUUGAGGAGGUCAAGGAGAACAAGGUUCAGGAAAUCAGGGUUGCAGGAAGAGCAAGAAAGCAUUGCCAGCACCUGGGGCUGUCCACAGCCAUGUACCAAAGCCCAAAGCUUCGCUUCUACUGUCCAAAUGUUGCAUGGGUGGCUCAAACCCAGGAACUCAGUGUUAUGGCUGAGUUAUGUCCCUAAGGAUUCUUAUAUCAAAGUCCUGAUCCCCAGUCCCUGAGAUUUUAUUUGGAAAUCAGGACUUUAAAGAGGCGAUUGAUGUAGAGUGAGGCUGUAUGGACAGGGCCUUAAUCCCAUAAGAUGAUAUCCUUACUAAAGGAGAUUAGGACAAAGAAGGAAAGUGGUCAUACCCAAGCCAAGGAGAAGGGUUUCAGAAGAAACCAGCACUACCAAUACUUGGAUCUUAGAAUUCUAGCUCCCCAGAAAUUCCUGCUGUUUCAGCUGUCUGGUUUAUGAUAAUUUGUUGUAGCAGCCCUAGCAAAUGAAUAUGUUCUGGAAGUAGGGAUUUUGCAAGACAUAGGUCCUAAGUUUCCAGUCCCCAUGGUAUAAGGCAGAACUUUGAAGGGCCAGUGGUACUGAGUUGCCAAGAGACAAGUUGGCACAGCCGUCCUUCACUGGGCACAUGCAAGACCACUCACGUCCCAAGCUCUGUGUACAUUUAUCCUACUUCACUGAGUCCUUCCAUCACCCACUCACAGCCCCAAACCUGGGUCUCCCAGGUAGUGCCCUGUCUGGUUGCAUCUGCUUCCUCCUCUCUGGUCCACCUAGGGAGGACCUCCUGAUCUUUAGGUCUUCCUCCACGCCCUUUCCAACAGCCCUUCCCCUUUCACUCACCAUCCCUCCCCAUGUUGUCCAGUUUGGUUUGCUUCCUCCUCGUUAUGGUUGUGUCUAGUUGUCCCCUCAAAGCCUCAUGUGGUCAUAGGUGGGGCUGCUCAGAGGUGGCUGGAUCUGAGAUGUGCGCUGCUAGAAUUAAGGGUGUGAUGCUUAGAAAUAAAACAAAAUUCUAAACAGGGCAAUAAUAAUAGAAGAAAAUAUUAUUAGCAGUGGUUAUCUUUGGGUGAUUCCCCCCAACUACUGUUGCUUAUUUUGUACUUCUAAUUCAUCCAUAAUGAAGAUGAACUUGUUUUAUUAUAGGCUUUUAAAAAAUCCAUGUCCUACCCCAAAUAUUUUUGCUGUCAAUUCCUUUAUACCUUGUAGUUAAGGGACAUUAUUUAGAGGAAUUUUCUGUGACCAGGAGAGAAAAGGCCACUGUGUCCUGCCACUGAGCCACUCAGAAGACAGAACCUCAGGAAAGGAAGGCAAAGACCAACCAGCCUUGGUGCCCUUGUUCUUCCACACCAGAGCAAUAGGAUAAGGAGCAGCACUGGUGGGUCUUUCCAGAGCUGACUAGGGAGCUGACACAUCCACUGUAUAGGCCCAAAGCACACUAAGAUGGCCAAAUCCUGCCCUGACACCACCCUACCCGGAAGCUUCUUGCAAACCACCCCAAGGUCUACAUUCCCUUUGGACACUCCUACUGUAAGUUUGAACGGGUCUCAUGAAACAAGGUGUUAUGUCUGCUUUGCUGAGUCCUCAGCAUAUGACACAGUGUCUGCUCUGAAAGUUCGGAAUGAAUGAACAAGUGAAUGAAUGAAUGAAUGAACUCCUUACAUCUUUGUUUCUCCAGGUCACAUAGCCCCAGUUCCUUCAAUAGUUUCUUUCUAAUGUGCUUCCUGGGCUCUUCCCCACUUCCCUUUGGAUACCGUCCAAUGUGUCAAUGCUCCUCUUAAAAUGUGGAGCCCAGGAGUACACAUAGCAGUCCUCGCAUGUGUGGAGAGUGUACAGUUCACAGGAGUCAGAACUUCUUCUGUUAGCAUGACCCACUUUUAUGGUGCAUCUCAAGAUCAGUUAUUGACAAAGCCACAGAUGUUCAAACACUCUAGACUGGAAUGUCAGGGCUUGAGGAUCGUCGUGACCAGUCCCAGCCCCACUGUGCUCCCUCCUUUGAACACUGAAGAUGCGGAAACACAUGGUGAGAAAGCUGCAGGCUCAGGAUUUGAAAGCCCUAGGCUCUGCUCCUUGGGAUGGUCAUAAUGUCCAUUGAGUGCUGGGCUCACACUGGGCCAAUCAUCAUGCCAAGGGCCUCACGUGCAUUUCUCACUCAAACCUUGCUGCAAGCACUGAUGCUAUUUUUAAUCCAUGUUUUACAAGUAGGGAAACUGAGGCUCAGAAAGAGGCUGAGAAACCUGCCUUUGUUAGUCUCCAUUAACUAGCUGACAAGGAGUCUUGACCUGGUCACUUGGACUCUGGGCUUCACCUUCCUUAUCAGUCGAAUAGAAGUAAUAAUAACAGCCUUGGAGAAUUAUUGGCAGGAUUUAUUAAAGAGAUGCAGUGAAAGUGAGUAUUAAAACGUAAACUGGUGAUACAUUAUUGUAAAGAAUCUGACUUUCCAGAACACUGUCUGGAGACCUAGACUCCAAUUUCCUCUCCUUGUCUGCCCAUUCCAGAUUGCUGUCAGUCGACGUAACAAAUGUUUUCUUCCUUGCUGCAAUCCUGGGCUUCCUGUUAUAGAUUAAGAGUAAUUACUCCCAAAUGGAUACAUAAAAGCCUAAUUUCUGGCCAACACACAUCAAGACUUCCAUAAAUAUGCAUGUAGGUUUUAUUUAUUAUUCUUCAUUAAAUCUAUUUCAAGUGAAAACAAACAAAUCCACUCUUCAAGUAUUAAAUUAGCUCAGCACGAAAGUGUCGCCUUGCAUCAGUAUUACAGAAGAGGGCGCUGUUUCUCUAUAAAGUGGGCAGUCAAGCUUUCCAACGGGGAUUAUCAAAUUUGGAAAGGUGACUGCUGGGUGGAGUUUAGUGGGCAGGGCUUGCUGGGCAGCUCCCCCACCCCAGCUAGUCUGUUCCCUUCCUGCACAUCAUCUACCCAAAGGCCUACCUGAGGGCCUUUCAGUCUGAGACCUGUAGACUUUGGUCCAACCUCUCCGUGCUACAGACGAGGAAACUGAGGCCAGAAGGACGUUGUUUAAGGUUCCACCACUAUGGAGGUACUGAGACCCGGCAGACACCAGGGCUCCAGACUCACGACCUCAGGGUCCUGUCCCACCCCUGCGGUUUCUCAGAGAUGGACACUGGUCUUAGCUCUUGCCCCUGCCCUAGUGAGAAAGAUUCAGUCCUUUCCUCCUCUCUCCUAGGACUCUGGGGUGGGGUGGUCCCAGGCGGAGUAAGAGGCAAGAGAGGCCUAGGAAGACAGAAAUGGGUAGAGGGGUGGGGAGAGGAUGCCUGCCACUGCUUUCUCUAGAGCCCUGUUCUCCCAGCAGUUUUGCUUCUCCAAAUCCUGACUGCUGUGGCUGAUGGACAGGAUCUGGAGAACAUGGCAGCAGGGUCCUCGUUCUCUCAUCUGUAAAGUGGGAAUGCCAUUACUUUCUAAGGAUGAUGCAAACAUAAUCUAUUCUACCAUGAAGGAUCUGUGACACUGCUUAACUAGAUGUCAUCUUGCCUGAAAAGUGAUGAACUCUGGAAGUGGGAGCGAUUAUUCGGAAGUGAAAGGAGGAGGCAGGCUCUUUGUCUCCCUGUGAAUGCUGUUGGACUUUCGGCCUCCCCCUCCACAUUCCAACAGCUCUCUUCCUGAACCAGUGGUUCUGAUCUGGGCAGCACAUUAAAAGACCCUGUGGUACUUUAAAAAAAUCUCGAUGCCCAGGCUGCCUGGAGCCCCAGUAAAUCAGACUCUUUGGAGCUGAGUGUAGUCAUUAGCGCUGUUGGUGACCUGUCUACUCUGCAGAUCGCAAGGUGAGAACCAUAGUUCCCAAUCCUCCCCCUGCCUUGUCUCGGCCCUGGGCUUCUCUCUACCAACAGCCACUUUCACUACACACUUCUGUUCCUGAGUCCCUGCCCCUGGCCUUGGACUCUGAGCAUAUUAACCCCUCUGCACCUUGGCUUUCUUAUCAGGAAAACAAUGGAAGGGGGAGACAGUUGGUCAUCUACUCAGCACUCAGUACCUCCUUUUCCCUUCCACAUAAAAGGCAGACUUAUGAAGCCAAGCAUCUGCCAGAAGGUGUUCUGCAGACCCCAAAGUUAAUGGUAUUCAUCUGCUUUUUCCAGCAACCAACUUAGAACAAGACUGUAGCUUAACUGUGCUAAGUAGGAUGUGAGAGGUGGCUUCUGGGAAAGUGUUUUUGCUCCUGAAAGAGAACUAGAAGUCACAGGGCGGCACCUGGGACUGCUUGCGUCAUCUUGUGACCAGCUUGAGGAUGAAAGCAAACAGGCCCAACACUUAAAGAUGAAUGUUUUAGAAAGUUAAAGUCACAAGGAUGAGGAACAGAAGAGAAUUAAUGUUUCCUAAGUCCCAAUUACAUAAAGGAACCUCUGCUAAGUCCAGUAGGAGAUGGGCCAGCUUAUGUAACUGAGACCACUGUCGGCUGGCACUGGAACACAAUCAGCUUACAGGCAAGAUUGAUUUUAAUGUUAGUCCAACAUUUAGACAAAUACUUUAACCUCUCUAAGCCUCAGUUUUCUUAUCUGUGAAGUAGGAAUAAUGGAAUCUUCCAAUCAUGGGACUGUCAGAAGGAUUAAGUGAAAUAAUGCAUGUCAGUGAUCUAGCACAUUAACAAGACUCAAUGGACACCAGAUAUUACAACUUUAAAACAAAAUGCUCCAUAAGCAGACUGUUUAUUGUCGUUAUCAAGAUCUACUUUUAAUCUAUGAAUAAAAUGAGAAUCAUAAAACUCAAGUGAACUUGUCUCAAUCCCCCAGUGAAAAGUGACAGAGCUGAGAUUUAAUCUCAAGAAUUCCAAUUUCUAAUCUGCUUGUGCUUUUUCCUGCCUCUCCUGCUUGCUGUACUUAGUUGAGGAAAACCCCACAUUCUCCUGCAGUGAGCAAUGCUUGGGAGUCCUUCUCUAAACACAGGUUUGCAGGCAAACCAAGUGAAAAGGAGAGGCUGAGCCCGAGACAGGAUAUGACCAAGUAGCUGCUACGGGCAAGGAAUCUCUCUUAGCAGGACAUGUGUUAGGCUUGCAGACAUAGGCUCAUAGGACCACAGACUCUCAGGGUUCAGAAGGAGAUCGUGUAACCUAACCUUGGCCCAGGCUGGAACUACUAUUUGCCCCCCUUGAGACAGAGGCUUCCAACUUUCCAGAGAGGGGUACAUCUGAUUGUUAAAAAGUUCUCCAGUUGUUGAGAUGACAUGCACCUCCUUUGAACUUCCACCAUCGGUUCUUGCUGGGGCCUUCAGGAAAGAGAGAGAACAGCCCUCCACCCUUUGUCACCAGCAGGUCGCCCUUUGCAAUCAUGCCAAGGAUGGCUCAUUUCACCCUGCAUCUGCUCUCCUCAUCUCCUCCAAUCUAGUCCAUUAAUACUCUAGUCCAUUUCCCCAACUUUCACAACUGAUCCUCCAAACAUGCAGCUUCCACGUCUACCACCAUGUUGGCCUCUCUUCUGAUACAGAUAAAUGGAAGUGGAAUCGACAUUCAGGGAAGGAUUGUCUAACAAAGCAAUUCAGCAGUGGAUUAAGGGGUCAGGUUGAAAUUUUAUUGUUUGUUUGUAAAUUAUACCUAAUAAGAGUUGCAGAGGAAAAUUAUUCCUUAAUGUGGCAGGCCUCUGUUGUUUAUGCUUCUUUAGCAUCCAUUCUCUUUUCUGUGGGAUUGAGAUUAACAUCCUCUUUGAUGAAUGACCAAAGUCCUUCAGACACAAUCUGGCUGAGACAGUUGGCAAGGUGUCCUACUGUGGCCAGGCCAUAAGCAGAAACAUGGCCAACACUGGGCAGACCAGAUCUUCCUUUCCUAAUUGGGUGGCGUUGGGGUGGGGCCAGACUCACAGUUGUGCCUAGAAGAGGCUGAGCGCCGUUCCCGUGGGACCCCCUGGAAUAAUCCCUUCCUUGCUCCCUGAUUUCCUUGUGAACUCUUUCUGUUGCUUGCAGCUAAAGCCCCCUGGUUUAUUGGGUAACAGAGUAAAGGGGAAAAUAACAUUAUUGAGUAUUAAUAAAAUAGUCUCAAACAGAUAAAGAGAAAAACAAACACUGACUCUAAUCUUUAUUAUUAU